GCAAAUAUAAUUAAAUAAUCACAUAGAAUCAAAAUUCUGUACAAAUCAAACUUUUCUAGAAAAAUAACCAAAACUUCUACAUCUCCCAUCUUCUACAAAGAUAUUUAAGGUUUUCUUUUCAGGCUGCACUAAGAUUGAUUUAUCACAUUAUACAUGUCCAAUCAUUAGCUGAAAGUAGUUUUCAUACUUUUGAUCAGAGAACACAAUCCUGAGUUAUUUU
rnacentral:misc_RNA from 1 species